UUAACUCAAAUUUGUAUGGAGUUGGAUCGUUUGCCUACAUUUACCGUUAGGGGCGUUGUUCAGCUGCAGAUAAAUUUGAGUUA
rnacentral:pre_miRNA from 1 species